rnacentral:ncRNA from 1 species
AAAAAUACGUGGAAGAGAAGAGUAGAUAAGGAACGAUUUUACAGAGAACCCGGGUGCUGCGAAAGGGAAAAUUAGAACUUAUUGAAGAUGGUCUUGGAGUUGUCUGUCUGAGCGUUUGUUAGGGCAGAACGGUCACACCGUUAUCGUGUAUAAGGUCUGCAUAUGCAGAUGAAUUAAAGUGGUACCACGGGAUUCUCGUCUUUAAG